UCCUUGCUUCCAUGUUCGUCGGCGUUGCCGGCACAUGCCCAGGCAGUCGAGACCUUCGAGGCUGCAAGCGC
rfam:Variovorax sp. WDL1 contig_401, whole genome shotgun sequence.